rnacentral:tRNA from 1 species
GGAGAGUUGUCCGAGUGGUUUAAGGUGCUGCUCUCGAAAAGCAGUGUGCUAUAAGCACCGUGGGUUCGAAUCCCAUGCUCUCCG